AUGUUUUUCCCCCUCACACCAUCAAGCCCACAGUGAUCAUCAACUUCUGCCAUGUUCCUGAGAUUGACCAGAGGACAAGAUGUGAAGAGACGGCCACGGUCCAGGGGUGGCACACAGGAGCUCCAUCACACCUGACCCUGCUGUGUCGCUGAGGGAACCUCCUGGUGAGCACCGGGCAGUCGGCACGGAGCUGGCCAAGACCAGACUCGGCCGGCAGUGACCACGAACAAGGAUCAGCCCGGCGUCUGAAGUGACUGCCAAGAACAAGGGUCAAGGACGGGCCCGCGGUGGGUGUCGGAGGUCAGUCGAGGUCGCGCGGCCGAGAGAACAAAGAGUGACCCGGCGUUGGAAUGAGGGGGGGGGGGGGGGCCCAAGAAGGAAGAGGGACCAUUGGGACCACACUGGUCACUCAUCACCCCAACACAAGAAGGACUUCAGGACUGAUGGACAGACCGGCAAUCAGCGUUAAGAUGACUUGUCAUGGGUCAGGGCACUCCGCUCCCCUCUGAAAUCACCAUAAACACCACUCCGCUGGAAAAUGUCUUAAAUUCACCAACCUAGGAUCUACGGUGACCGACAGCAACUCAUGGAUGAGGAAACCACUUCACGUACAGUAAACCACCUUCCUCUACAGCACCCAGGUUCGGGAGACUAAGCAAGUGGACAUGGAAGAACAGGAAACUCACAAUGAAGACCAAGGCAACUGUCUACAACGAGUGAGUGUUGAACACGUUACUGUACAGCAGUGAAGCUUGGGCGACUUACCUCCAUCAAGAAACAUCAAGGAGUGAUGUGGAGAACAAAAUGGGACCUGCGUCGGAACCAGGACAGACCUUCAGAGACAUGGACAUCCAGGAACUUGCAACAUAACGUUCUCCACCACUGUCCCAUUAAUGGAGACAAGUUUGUGGAUCAUCGGCUUUCCCCUCUUGAGGUCAUCGACCAUCGGCCAUGUUUCCUGUGAUUGACCAGAGGACAAUAUCUGACGAGACGGCCAUGGACCAGGGCUGGCACACAGAAGCUUCAUCACACCUGACCCUGCUGUGUUGCUGAGGAAGAUCUGGUGUCACUGGGAAUGUGGAGCUGAUCCUCUGUAAACUGCCCUCAGUGGAAGACCGUGAUGGAGAUGUGUUUUUAGAGCUCGGCUGUCAGCAAAGAUGGAGCAGAAAACUGCUGGAGGAACUCAGUGGGUCAGGCAGCAUCUGUGGAGGAAAUGGACUGAUGACAUUUGGAUCAAGACGCCAUUCUCGUCUCCAAUUACCAGGUCGGUUUCUGAUGACCGUAAAUGGCCAAGGUUGAUGAUCAUCAUGGACUUGCAUGUCAGAUGCUUGAAGAUCCUGGAGACCCAAUCUUGCUCCACGUUCUCUGCGAACUUCCACACCUGGCACUGGAGAAGCUGUUGAGGAACAACUUGGUGGGAUUUCUUAGGGCGCUGGAUCUCCUCCAGAUUGUUUGAAGGUGGAUGCCGCAGGUCGGUCGAGGACACGACUCCGAGAGGACAUUUCAUCUGCGGAGGGAUUGGACAGACACCGGUUUGGAUCAGGAAUCUUCAAGACUCCAUUCUUGUCUCCAUUUACCAGGUCGGUUUCUGAUGACAGGAAAUGACCAAGAUUGAUGAUCACCGUGGACUUGAAUGACAGAAGAUUGAAGCCACUCAAGACCGGACUUGGCCUGCUUUGGCCACGAAGAAGGACGAACCCGGCAGCCGAAGUGACCACCGAGACAAGGGUCAAGUACGGGCCCUCGGUAGGUGCCGGAGGUCAGACUGCUCAUGGAAUGGCACGCCGCGGAGAAGGAAGAGGAACCAUCGGGAUCAUAUUGGUCACUCAUCACCCCAACAGAAGAAGGACUUCAGGGGCUGAUGGACAGACUGUCUCAUGCUUGCAAUGGUUACUGACUGGCAAUCAGUUUUAAUAUAACUGUUGUCAUGGAUCAAGGAACUCCACUCCCCUCUGUAAUCAUCCUAAACACCACUCAGCUGGAAACUCAUCCAAUUCACCUACCGAGGAUCAACAGUGACUGAUAGCCACUCUCUGGAUGAGGAAAUCAUCAAUUAAUCUACAGUAAACCUCCUUCCUCUACAGUAACCACAUUCUGGAGGAUAUCCAAGCAGAUAUGGAAGAACAGAUUGAUUAGUAGGACGAUGUUACAAUCCCUAAGGUUUCACUACAAUUGACAUUCUUGGGGAUGACCACCAGGUCAUUUUGCUACCAAUCGGACACAUCUUCAGUUGUGUACCUCAACGUCACUGGGCGUUGCGGCCUUUUAUCACAAGACACCCUCAGUCGAGGCAGGCCCACCGCAGGGUGAUCAGACCUGGGUGUGUGUCUUAUGCUUAGCCUCUAGAUGGUCAGUCACGUGACAGCCCUGACAGCAUCCUUUCUCUUCAGCCACACAGCCAGUGACUGCUCCAUUCGGCUUUUUUCCUUCCAUCUUCCUCUGUUCCGCUGCCUGUGGCUGGUUGGGCUCUGGACUCGUGUCAUUUGGUGGGACAGUACUUGGUUGAGCUUUUCCUGGGGUGCUGAUACCCUGUGGUCAACCUGCCACUGGGCUUCACUCGACUGGUUUGACCUACCGCUUAGAAAGUAAUGGUCAUUGCGAGGCCUCUCACCAAACUCUCUCAGGCCCUGGUGGAUCUCGAGACCCUUCUCGGAUGUUAUCUUUUCCCAGCCACAGAUGCAGCUUCGUAGCUUAUGUCCUGGCGGGGCUGCUGCUCUGCCAAUUGCUGUGCUAGUUGUAAUAUUCAUAGUCGAUUCCUUCCAGGAGUAAUAAUGUCCUAUUGGCAGCAUUCCCUCAGAUUAUCAAUCUCUCUCCUGCACUCUGACUUGUCAUUACCCAUUAUUUGCCCAACAUUGGUGGUACCAUCUGUGAAAUUUAAAGACGGCAUUGGAAUGGUCUGGCUAUGCAGUCCUGGUGAUACAGCAGGGGACUGAGCACACAGCCUUGAGCUGGUCCUGUGUUGGUUAUAGAGGAUGUGUUGCAUUAGGGCUGCAAGCUGUUGUUCAUUGUUAUUUCUGCUGCUGUCUCUUUAGAAACAUAGAAAAUAGGUGCAGGAGUCGAGGCCAUUCGACCCUUCGAGCCUGCACCGCCAUUUAAUGUGAUAAUGGCUGAUCAUCCAACUCAGUAUCCUGUACCUGCCUUCUCUUCACACCCCCUGAUCCCUUUAGCCACAAGGGCCACAUCUAACGCCCUCUUAAAUAUAGCCAAUGAACUGGCCUCAACUAUUCUUUCUGUGGAAGAGGAUUCCACAGAUUCACCACUCUCUGUGUGAAAAAGAAUGUUCUCAUCUCGGUCCUAAAAGACUUCCCCCUUAUCCUUAAACUGUGAUCCCUAGUUCUGGAUUUUCCCAACAUCGGGAACAAAGUUGUCGUUCACCUGACUGAGGUCAGUUGACAGGACUCACCAUGGGGAGAUCGACAACAGCGCUCAUAUGAGCAAUCUUGAUGCCAUCCUCACCAACACCAUGCAUAUCAUCACCGGCUGCCUACGUCCUACUCCGAUGAAUGUUCUUCUGGUGUUCGCAGGUAUUGCACCCCCUAGCAUCACAGAGAGUAUUUCACCCACAGGCUGGUAUACAAGGCCCCAUCGGACGCCAAACAUCCUCUGCACCACCUCGCCCAGGACUCACAGCUACUGGGACCUCAACGCCUGUCAUCUCGUCGCCUGUUCUCCCGUCACGCAGCGACCCUGUGUGGCUCCAGUUUCAACACACCAGGAGCACGGAGAACCAGCUGGGAACAGACUUCACGACCUCCUCAAUUCACUGUUGCUCCAAACACCACAGCCCCACUCGGCUCCACCCUGCCCCGUAAAGAGUGUGUCGCCCUGAACCGGCUCCGUACAGGGGUCGGCCGGUUCAACGUCAACAUGCAUCACUGGGGGCUGUGUGAUCAGCAGCCUGCGUGUGUGGAGCAGACCAGCAAACAGCGCAGCACGACAUUUUCAACAGCACUGUCCUCCGUUCCCCCCUGGUGGAGGGCUGGAUCUCACAGCCCUUGACAACAGCACCUUGAAUUGGCUACAGCUCCUGAUGGCCGUUACAUAACCUCUACUGCUUCAAACGCAAGAAGAAGUAUAGAGGAGGGGGUGUUGCCAGUUUGUGCUGAGCUGGAGGCCUUGCUCGAGACUGACUUUAAGCCCCGUGGACUUACCAUCUGAGCCCUUGCUUGGGAUCGACACUCCAACCACUGCCUGCGGAUUUCAACAUCAAGUGAGACCACACCUGGAGUAUUGUGUGCAGUUUUGGUCCCCUAAUUUGAGGAAGGCCAUUCUUGCUAUUGUGAGAGUGCAGAGUAGGUUUACAAGGUUAAUUCCCGGGAUGGCGGGACUGUCAUAUGCUGAGAGAAUGGAGCGGCUGGGCUUGUACACUCUGGAGUUUAGAAGGAUGAGAGGAUAUCUCAUUGAAACAUAAAAGAUUGUUACGGGUUUGGACACGCUAGAGGCAGGAAACAUCUUCCCGAUGUUGGGGGAGUCCCGAACCAGGGAGCCACAGUUUAAGAAUAAGGGGGUAAGCCAUUUAGAACGGAGACGAGGAAACACUUUGUUUCCCCACACAAAAUGGUGAGUCUGCGGAAUUAUCUGCCUCAGGGCGGUGGAGGCCGGUUCUCUGGAUGCUUUCAAGAGAGAGCUUAAAAAUAGUGGAGUCUGGGGUCGAUGUCUGCCAGACCCUGAGCUCCAUUUGGUGGGUGGUAGAGAUGACAUGGUUGGCUGGCUGUUGUUCUCUGCAUUCACAGGCUGGGCUCGCCAGUGUGAUCAUCAGCAUCUGAUUGACCUGAGAUUGACCAAAGGACAAGAUCUGAAGAGAUGGGCCAUGGACCAAGGGAAACGUAGAAGCUUCAUCGCUCCCGACUCUUCUGUGCUCCUGAGGAUGUGGUGCUACUAGGAAUAGACUGAGCUGCUUCUCCGCAGAACUGCCUUCCCGUGCCUGGUCUGGGACAUCGCUCGGGACUUCAGGUACGUCCUUUUAUUCUGAGGCUAUGGCGUCGUCGAAGACUCUCCGACUGGUGGAAACAUCCUCUCCACAUCCACUCUUACUAUUUGGAUCGCUCAGUAUUUGGAGAAACAGUGGGCCUUUGGGAUCUUCAGUGUUGCCCUGCCCUUCAAGUCCACGGCUGGUGAUCUACCUCCAACAUUUUGCUGCACAGAGCCAGAGGGAAAUAUCGAGCAGAAGCCCAUUGAAGCCUCGUCACUACGGACUGCAACCGGUUCCAACGAGAGAGGUCAGAUGUCACCAGAAACCCACUGUAACCACUCUGGACACUGCUCUUCCAGGGUGCAGGACGUUACUCAGUACGUACCCUUCCAAAGGGUGUCUAUGUAGACAGCAAGACUUAACCUAUUGGGGUCAUGAGGACCAGUGGGUGUAUUGUCAUAUUGAAUGGCGGUGCAGGCUCGAAGGGCCGAAUGGCCUACUCAUGCACCUAAUUUCUAUGUUUCUAUCCCCUUCUCCCAUUCUCCAAACCCCCACCCCCUACACACUUUCCCCGAUGCUCCCCAUUUGUGGACCCAGCCUGUGACCAGCGAAUAUCCGCACACUAUUUCACACACGCUAGGGGACAAUUUAUACAAACCAUAACACUAACCAUAACCCUAACACUAACCAUAACCCUAGCCCUAACCCUAACACUAACACUAGCCCUAACCCUAACACUAACUCUAGGUUGAUAGACUUGGUACAUGUAUAAAUUGUCCCAAACGUGUGCGGGAUUAUUGUGCGUGGGAUCGCUGGUCAGUGUGGACUCGAUGGGCCGAAGGGCACUGUAUCUCUGAACUAAAUGUGAUACAGAGGCCCCAGGGGUUGGACUCGAACCCCUAAUGUUCUGCCUGCUCCUCCACCAGAAACCCACUGUAACCACUCUGGACACUGCUCUUCCAGGGUGCAGGACGUUAUUCAGUACGUACCCUUCCAAAGGGUGUCUAUGUAGACAGCAAGACUUAACCUGUUGGGGUCAUGAGGACCAGUGGGUGUAUUGUCCAACCAAGGAGUUGUUCUGAAGUCCUGAUCUCCCUUUCUUUUACAGCAGGCAACUCAAAUCCCACCCACCCUUUCAAAGGUCAUUGAAAAAGCCACUAAUGAAGAGCCGUGAUCUUGUAUAUUGGUCUCUUUUUAUCUUGUGUCUCUGGAAUUCUUGACUCUCAAUACAUCUCUCACCAGAGCUAAGAAAUCUUGUUAUGGUGUAACUGGGGCGUAGGCACUGAAUCUUGCUGAGG